rnacentral:rRNA from 2 species
UUAAGCGACUAAGCGUACACGGUGGAUGCCUAGGCAGUCAGAGGCGAUGAAGGGCGUGCUAAUCUGCGAAAAGCGUCGGUAAGCUGAUAUGAAGCGUUACAACCGACGAUACCCGAAUGGGGAAACCCAGUGCAAUUCGUUGCACUAUUGCAUGGUGAAUACAUAGCCAUGCAAGGCGAACCGGGGGAACUGAAACAUCUAAGUACCCCGAGGAAAAGAAAUCAACCGAGAUUCCCCCAGUAGCGGCGAGCGAACGGGGAAGAGCCCAGAGUCUGAAUCAGUUUAUGUGUUAGUGGAAGCGUCUGGAAAGUCGCACGGUACAGGGUGAUAGUCCCGUACACAAAAAUGCAUAUUCUGUGAACUCGAUGAGUAGGGCGGGACACGUGACAUCCUGUCUGAAUAUGGGGGGACCAUCCUCCAAGGCUAAAUACUCCUGACUGACCGAUAGUGAACCAGUACCGUGAGGGAAAGGCGAAAAGAACCCCGGCGAGGGGAGUGAAAUAGAACCUGAAACCGUGUACGUACAAGCAGUGGGAGCACCUUCGUGGUGUGACUGCGUACCUUUUGUAUAAUGGGUCAGCGACUUAUAUUUUGUAGCAAGGUUAACCGAAUAGGGGAGCCGUAGGGAAACCGAGUCUUAACUGGGCGUCUAGUUGCAAGGUAUAGACCCGAAACCCGGUGAUCUAGCCAUGGGCAGGUUGAAGGUUGGGUAACACUAACUGGAGGACCGAACCGACUAAUGUUGAAAAAUUAGCGGAUGACUUGUGGCUGGGGGUGAAAGGCCAAUCAAACCGGGAGAUAGCUGGUUCUCCCCGAAAGCUAUUUAGGUAGCGCCUCGUGAACUCAUCUUCGGGGGUAGAGCACUGUUUCGGCUAGGGGGUCAUCCCGACUUACCAAACCGAUGCAAACUCCGAAUACCGAAGAAUGUUAUCACGGGAGACACACGGCGGGUGCUAACGUCCGUCGUGAAGAGGGAAACAACCCAGACCGCCAGCUAAGGUCCCAAAGUCAUGGUUAAGUGGGAAACGAUGUGGGAAGGCACAGACAGCCAGGAUGUUGGCUUAGAAGCAGCCAUCAUUUAAAGAAAGCGUAAUAGCUCACUGGUCGAGUCGGCCUGCGCGGAAGAUGUAACGGGGCUAAACCAUGCACCGAAGCUGCGGCAGCGACACUUAGGUGUUGUUGGGUAGGGGAGCGUUCUGUAAGCCGUUGAAGGUGACCUGUGAGGGUUGCUGGAGGUAUCAGAAGUGCGAAUGCUGACAUAAGUAACGAUAAUGCGGGUGAAAAACCCGCACGCCGGAAGACCAAGGGUUCCUGUCCAACGUUAAUCGGGGCAGGGUGAGUCGACCCCUAAGGCGAGGCUGAAAAGCGUAGUCGAUGGGAAACAGGUUAAUAUUCCUGUACUUGGUGUUACUGCGAAGGGGGGACGGAGAAGGCUAGGCUAGCCGGGCGACGGUUGUCCCGGUUUAAGCAUGUAGGCGGAGUGACCAGGUAAAUCCGGUUGCUUAUCAACGCUGAGGUGUGAUGACGAGCCACUACGGUGGUGAAGUAGUUGAUGCCAAGCUUCCAGGAAAAGCCUCUAAGCAUCAGGUAACAUUAAAUCGUACCCCAAACCGACACAGGUGGUCAGGUAGAGAAUACUCAGGCGCUUGAGAGAACUCGGGUGAAGGAACUAGGCAAAAUGGUGCCGUAACUUCGGGAGAAGGCACGCUGGCGGUAGGUGAAGAGACUUGCUCUCGGAGCUGAAGCCAGUCGCAGAUACCAGCUGGCUGCAACUGUUUAAUAAAAACACAGCACUGUGCAAACACGAAAGUGGACGUAUACGGUGUGACGCCUGCCCGGUGCUGGAAGGUUAAUUGAUGGGGUCAGCCGCAAGGCGAAGCUCUUGAUCGAAGCCCCAGUAAACGGCGGCCGUAACUAUAACGGUCCUAAGGUAGCGAAAUUCCUUGUCGGGUAAGUUCCGACCUGCACGAAUGGCGUAAUGAUGGCCAGGCUGUCUCCACCCGAGACUCAGUGAAAUUGAACUCGCUGUGAAGAUGCAGUGUACCCGCGGCAAGACGGAAAGACCCCGUGAACCUUUACUAUAGCUUGACACUGAACAUUGAGCCUUGAUGUGUAGGAUAGGUGGGAGGCAUUGAAGUGUGGACGCCAGUCUGCAUGGAGCCAACCUUGAAAUACCACCCUUUAAUGUUUGAUGUUCUAACUCGGCCCCGUAAUCCGGGGUGAGGACAGUGUCUGGUGGGUAGUUUGACUGGGGCGGUCUCCUCCCAAAGAGUAACGGAGGAGCACGAAGGUUAGCUAAUCACGGUCGGACAUCGUGAGGUUAGUGCAAAGGCAUAAGCUAGCUUGACUGCGAGAGUGACGGCUCGAGCAGGUACGAAAGUAGGUCUUAGUGAUCCGGUGGUUCUGAAUGGAAGGGCCAUCGCUCAACGGAUAAAAGGUACUCCGGGGAUAACAGGCUGAUACCGCCCAAGAGUUCAUAUCGACGGCGGUGUUUGGCACCUCGAUGUCGGCUCAUCACAUCCUGGGGCUGAAGUAGGUCCCAAGGGUAUGGCUGUUCGCCAUUUAAAGUGGUACGCGAGCUGGGUUUAGAACGUCGUGAGACAGUUCGGUCCCUAUCUGCCGUGGGCGUUGGAAGAUUGAGAGGGGCUGCUCCUAGUACGAGAGGACCGGAGUGGACGAAUCACUGGUGUUCGGGUUGUCAUGCCAAUGGCAUUGCCCGGUAGCUAAAUUCGGAAGAGAUAACCGCUGAAAGCAUCUAAGCGGGAAACUUGCCUCGAGAUGAGUCUUCCCUGGGGCUUUAAGCCCCCUGAAGGAACGUUAAAGACUAUGACGUUGAUAGGCUGGGUGUGUAAGUGCAGCGAUGCAUUGAGCUAACCAGUACUAAUGAUCCGUGAGGCUUAACCUU